rnacentral:rRNA from 1 species
GAUGAACUUUGGCGGCGUGCCUAAUACAUGCAAGUCGAGCGAACAGACGAGGAGCUUGCUCCUUUGACGUUAGCGGCGGACGGGUGAGUAACACGUGGGUAACCUACCUAUAAGACUGGGAUAACUUCGGGAAACCGGAGCUAAUACCGGAUAAUAUUUCGAACCGCAUGGUUCGAUAGUGAAAGAUGGCUUUGCUAUCACUUAUAGAUGGACCUGCGCCGUAUUAGCUAGUUGGUAAGGUAACGGCUUACCAAGGCAACGAUACGUAGCCGACCUGAGAGGGUGAUCGGCCACACUGGAACUGAGACACGGUCCAGACUCCUACGGGAGGCAGCAGUAGGGAAUCUUCCGCAAUGGGCGAAAGCCUGACGGAGCAACGCCGCGUGAGUGAUGAAGGUCUUCGGAUCGUAAAACUCUGUUAUUAGGGAAGAACAAACGUGUAAGUAACUGUGCACGUCUUGACGGUACCUAAUCAGAAAGCCACGGCUAACUACGUGCCAGCAGCCGCGGUAAUACGUAGGUGGCAAGCGUUAUCCGGAAUUAUUGGGCGUAAAGCGCGCGUAGGCGGUUUUCUAAGUCUGAUGUGAAAGCCCACGGCUCAACCGUGGAGGGUCAUUGGAAACUGGAAAACUUGAGUGCAGAAGAGGAAAGUGGAAUUCCAUGUGUAGCGGUGAAAUGCGCAGAGAUAUGGAGGAACACCAGUGGCGAAGGCGACUUUCUGGUCUGUAACUGACGCUGAUGUGCGAAAGCGUGGGGACCAAACAGGAUUAGAUACCCUGGUAGUCCACGCCGUAAACGAUGAGUGCUAAGUGUUAGGGGGUUUCCGCCCCUUAGUGCUGCAGCUAACGCAUUAAGCACUCCGCCUGGGGAGUACGACCGCAAGGUCGAAACUCAAAGGAAUUGACGGGGACCCGCACAAGCGGUGGAGCAUGUGGUUUAAUUCGAAGCAACGCGAAGAACCUUACCAAAUCUUGACAUCCUUUGACCCUUCUAGAGAUAGAAGUUUCCCCUUCGGGGGACAAAGUGACAGGUGGUGCAUGGUUGUCGUCAGCUCGUGUCGUGAGAUGUUGGGUUAAGUCCCGCAACGAGCGCAACCCUUAAGCUUGGUUGCCAUCAUUAAGUUGGGCACUCUAAGUUGACUGCCGGUGACAAACCGGAGGAAGGUGGGGAUGACGUCAAAUCAUCAUGCCCCUUAUGAUUUGGGCUACACACGUGCUACAAUGGACAAUACAAAGGGCAGCGAAACCGCGAGGUCAAGCAAAUCCCAUAAAGUUGUUCUCAGUUCGGAUUGUAGUCUGCAACUCGACUACAUGAAGCUGGAAUCGCUAGUAAUCGUAGAUCAGCAUGCUACGGUGAAUACGUUCCCGGGUCU